UUGCCAAAGUAAACGAGUCGAGCACGUGACGUCCCGGUCCCGGUACCGGCAUUUUAAUAUCUGCUCGUUUUGAAGGGUUUUCUUGGGGAGCAGAAAGGGGAGAGGCUAGGUGAGGAUGUUGGAGGCUAGAGGGGCCGCAGGUUCGAGGAGAGGUUGGAGCCGCGCUUUACUGGUGGUGGCAGCCGCGGCGCGGCUGCCGUUACCUGCUCUUCCGGGCCGCGUGCGCGCUAGAGGACCGGUCAAAGAUGUUGUGGCUGGGGCGCCGGCGGCCGCGCCAACGGCGCAGGGGCCGCGCCGGGAGGGGGUGGCGCCGGUGGCGCAGCGGCGAGCUCAGGUAGUUGAGGUGGAGGAAGUUGGGACUACAGAUGUACCUGCAGGACCACGUUGUUAGUUUAGACCUUCGGGAAGAUGUCUCCGUACACUUCUACCGACGGCUCUAGUUCUUGGACCUGUGUCUGAAUGUCUACGAUCAUAUACUCUUAAUAUUGUUUAAAUAUUCACGUUGACUGUGAUAUUUUUCCUACUUCUGAUUGUAACGACCAUACCUCUGUUUGUACCUUGUUGAUGAAAGUUUCUAUUGUAGUCACGUCAGUUCUUCACUGUGUCACUUGUGUAGAGACAAGUUGUUUUCUCUUUUGUAUCUCUUUAAUGUGGCUUGUGCGUUAGAGGAGGCCUUUCAAGUUAAGUAUAUGCUAGACGGUUGAGCCGAGUUGUUUACGUAGUUCCGUCCUCGUAUACGCCUGCGACAAUCUAAAAAAUGACCUCGUUUUGGAUAAAAACUCCGGAUACCACUAUGUAGGAAAGUUCUGACAUUUUUUCGUAGACUCCUCCGUUACCUAAACCAAUAUGUUGUCGAAGUCCGUUUCAACAUAUGUCUAAGACUUGGAUAACUUCGUUCUCGUCUUCGACACCACGAAGAAUUCGUUGAAUUAAAAGGACAGCUGUUGGAAUUCAGUUUGGAUGAACUCUUCGAACUUCUAACGGAAAAUUUAAACGUCUGGCUCGGGUACGUCCGAAGUCAACCACUAUAAAGUUUCUGUAAGGCACGAAUAGAGUAUUAUAAAGGACUAAGUCUUUCAGCAGAGUAACUUGAACGUGUACGAAACAAGUGUUUGGCAAUACUUUGUCAGUCUCCCCGAGACUUCCUUUCUUAAGGUAGUUGUCUAGACGACCGUUACGAUGCUCCAAAUACCCUCCUACGUUGACGGUAGCUGCUUCAAUAUAGUCUCCGACGUGACGGUCGAAAAAGUAACCUCUGAUGAGCUCUGUAAUAAUUCGUUGUGUAUCGUUGACGGAAAGAAGUAGAAGUUUGACUUUAUAGUCUACAUGACCAGUGUGUAAGUUGUAGUUUACUCUUCAAUCUUCUCAGUGUCGACGUUUGACGGUACCUUUUUUCGUUUUAAUUUCAUAGGGUUCCCACGUAUCUAGAGGACGUCCUUAAGGCAGUAGAAUAUCUACCCUUAUGUCUCAACGAUCAUUUCGACUUUCUAAACUAAUAACUAACCCAUGUUCUUCCAAAAGUUCUAAAGAAAGUCUUUGAACUACCCGUAAAAGUAGACGAAAGACCCUCUUCGUGCCCAAAGAGAGUUCUCAGUUCAUGACACCUAAAACACGUUUAACUGUUCCAAGGUUGUCACAACCAUGAGUACGAACGCGUCGAAACACAAAAGUAUCUUGUCUGUUGCUAAGGAUUUCAAUGUCUCCUAGACCGACUAAGAAAGAGACCUCCCCCUCGUGCAUCGAGACUUAUACCUGGUGGAAAACAUGGACCCCUCUAUACAGCAGAUAUAGCAAGUAGACCCCUCUUUAAGAAUGUUGUAAUGCAUUUAUAUUUCUGAGUCUUCUAAAGGUUUGAAGAAUUAUUCGCUAAAAGCUGUGGCCAGACCGAUUUCGUGUUCCUUGGUGCCCUUCAAUUGUACAAACAACUAGAUGAAGAGGAUCUCAAGUUACCGCAUCAUAGACUUCAGUUCGUCUAGAAUGGACCAAAUUAGGCCGCUGUAGCCGUAAGACUAUCGUGACCGUCGUGGUGAAGGAGAUCUUCGUUAGGCUACGCUCUUCUGUACAACUUGGCUAGUUUGUGUUUGGCCUCAUCUUCAGUUAAAGAUCUUUUAGUAGAUCGUUUUAAUAAGCUUGUCUUUUACCUUUAUAAGUGGUUUGAACUUAUGUGUGUCCUUAGACAUUAAAGAUGGCAGGAGUUCGAAACGGACUUUUCAAACGUUCUUAAACAGGCCGAAGUCUGGAAGUUGUCUUCACCUAAAGUCGUCUAAGUCAACCUAUACCUUAAAGACUUCUCGAGGGAGUUCCUCAAAUAACUACUACUUCGUCGGUAUUCGAAAAAUGAAUUUCUCCACUUGUUACGACGUGUGCUCUCUACAGAACUGGGCUAUGGAGAACUCCGGGGUUAUAAUCUAUUUGAGUAUUUACGUUUUGACCGUUUUUAGUUUCUCGUUUCGCGCUUAUACAUCAUCGAUGGGUGUGUAACAUGGAGAGUCGUCGUAAGUCAAAAUAAGUUAAAUUAUGUGUCAUAAGUUCGAUACACGUAUAUCAACACCCGAACACCGUACGGUGGUAGACAUUAUACAUUUAGACUCCAGUUUUGUGAGCUUGACUUAGUUGUUACGGACUUUACAUAUGAAGAACUCGAGAGUCAAAGGGUAAGACAGUAACAUAACAGUACUCAGAACUGAGGUCUCAACUCCAUUUAACACUCGUUGGAUCCCGGCCUUCCGCCUUCUUCUUGACACAAUACGUAAAUUAACUCACCUGUAAAUCUUCGACAACUUACGUCUUUUUUCUACGUUAUGAAACUCCCGCGUCGAGCACCUCUUUAAUACUCGGACUAACGAUGCUAAUGCCUUCAGGUAGGUGAGCUGAUGGGAGAAGAAAAACCUUUCUUGAUCAUAGACCUAAGUCUGACCUUAAAACGUACAGAACUAACACUAAAAGCGACGUGCAAUGGCAACCAACGAAUCUGAACAUGGUAAACGCAAAGGGUUGAUACCACUAGACUUUCUAUAUAAAGAAAUGUCUCCCCCAUAAAAUUGUUAGAACCGGACGUUAUACAUGUACAUGGGUCCUUCUACUAUGUCGGCCUCAUUAAAAACCAAAACUCUACGUCAUUACACCCCUUCAUAUUCGCAUUUGUUCCGUAGUUGUAAGUCAUGGUGGACGUUUCUUUACAGAACCUUUUUC
rnacentral:rRNA from 1 species